rnacentral:rRNA from 1 species
AUUGAACGCUGGCGGCAGGCCUAACACAUGCAAGUCGAGCGGAUGAAGGGAGCUUGCUCCUGGAUUCAGCGGCGGACGGGGGAGUAAUGCCUAGGAAUCUGCCUGGUAGUGGGGGAUAACGUCCGGAAACGGGCGCUAAUACCGCAUACGUCCUGAGGGAGAAAGUGGGGGAUCUUCGGACCUCACGCUAUCAGAUGAGCCUAGGUCGGAUUAGCUAGUUGGUGGGGUAAAGGCCUACCAAGGCGACGAUCCGUAACUGGUCUGAGAGGAUGAUCAGUCACACUGGAACUGAGACACGGUCCAGACUCCUACGGGAGGCAGCAGUGGGGAAUAUUGGACAAUGGGCGAAAGCCUGAUCCAGCCAUGCCGCGUGUGUGAAGAAGGUCUUCGGAUUGUAAAGCACUUUAAGUUGGGAGGAAGGGCAGUAAGUUAAUACCUUGCUGUUUUGACGUUACCAACAGAAUAAGCACCGGCUAACCUCGUG